UACGGGGGGGGCAAGCGUUGUUCGGAAUUACUGGGCGUAAAGGGCUCGUAGGCGGCCAACUAAGUCGGACGUGAAAUCCCCAGGCUCAACCUGGGAACUGCGUCCGAUACUGGAUGGCUUGAAUUCGGGAGAGGGAUGCAGAAUUCCAGGUGUAGCGGUGAAAUGCGUAGAUAUCGGGAGGAACACCAGUGGCGAAGGCGACUACCGGGCCCAUUCUUGACGCUGAGGCGCGAAAGCUAGGGGAGCGAACGGG
rnacentral:rRNA from 1 species